AUUGAACGCUGGCGGACGGCCUACCCCAUGCAAGUCGCACGAGUGGCGGACGGGUGAGUAAUGUCUGGGACACUGCCCGAUGGCGGGGGCGAACUACUGGAAACGGUAGCUAAUACGGCAUACCAUCGUAUGGGCCCAGAGGGGAUUAGCUUGUAGGUGAGGUAACGGCUCACCUAGGCGACGAUCCCGAGCUGGUCUGCUAGGACAACCAGCCCCACUGGAACUGAGACACGGUCCAGACUCCUACGGGAUGCAUCAGUUGGGAAUAUUGCACAGUGUGCGCAAGCCUGAUGCAGCCAUGCCGCGUGUAUGAAGAUGGCCUUCGGGUUUUAAAUUACGUUCAGCGGGGAGUCGUUGCCCGCAGUAGAGUCCCCGGCUGACUCCGUGCCAGCAGCCGCGGUAAUUC
rnacentral:rRNA from 1 species